UACAGAGGUCCCGAGCGUUGUUCGGAUUCACUGGGCGUAAAGGGUGCGUAGGUGGUGAGGUAAGUCGGAUGUGAAAUCUCGGAGCUCAACUCCGAAACGGCAUUGGAAACUACCUUGCUAGAGGAUUGGAGGGGGGACUGGAAUACUUGGUGUAGCAGUGAAAUGCGUAGAUAUCAAGUGGAACACCAGUGGCGAAGGCGAGUCCCUGGACAAUACCUGACACUGAGGCACGAAAGCUAGGGGAGCAAACAGG
rnacentral:rRNA from 1 species